ensembl:snoRNA
GCCAUAAUUUUACACUUUUGGCUCAUCCCGCUGGGCCUCUUACAGUGUCCCAUGCCAGAGCAAACCUGGCCCCAAACCAUUGCCCGGCCUCUGCCAGCCGGCUGCAGGCACUGAAGCAGGUCGCACAGUG